rnacentral:lncRNA from 1 species
CCCGAUGUUUACUCUUCAAAGGCUUUCUUCAGUCUUCUCGAUUGACACCAAUUUUCAUCUGUCUUUUCCGUGUUCGCGUGGCGAUUUUCUGCUAAGCUGUCCCGGGUGGAACUCGUGUCUAGUCUUCUGGCCGUGUCAGAGAGCAGCGAUACUUCGAUAGUUAAUAGGUUUCUCGGCUUUUGCGGGGGAGCCAAACGGACGAACAAGAACUGCUCAACCCUCGGCUUCUUCUCUCUUCCUGUUUUUGGCCACUCUGCUCGCACUAGUGCCUGCUGGACGGCGAUUCAAAAGCCGAAAAAGUUACGUGCGUGGUGAACUGACGCUCUCCAGGCUUGGCUCUCCGAACACCGAGCGAGAGAUAGAGGUCCGAGAAGGCAUGCGAAAACAGAUAAGCUAUUCGGUUGCCACUGCCAAAGCAUGUGAGUUCGAACCGCAUUCCGAUGCUCUUUUCAGUUUCGCUGGAACGCGUAGACGGCGGCAGCUACUCCUUGUGAGUAGGCUACGCCAUGUGAACUCACGCGAAAAGCACGCGCAGUCCAAGUCCACUUUGAAUCGCCGACGUUCCUCCUCAACACAUUGUGGCAGAGAGAAGGGACACUUUCGUCUUGUUUUUCGCUCCGAGAUCUACCAACAACAAACCCCUCUGGCGGUCUGAGGAGCGAGAGGCGCACGUAGCCGGCACUUCAAGCAGCUUAUGACCGCUCCGAACAGAAAGUGGUUUCUACGUAGUGCUUUGCAACUUUUGACGAAUUCUCAUGCUUAUACACAGCUGCUCAGGGAACGGCUUCUGGUGGAAGCCGAAACGCCAGUUGUUCGGCGCGUCGAGCAGUGCUGUCAUCGGCCACCCCCCUCCUCCCCCCCCCCCCCCCCCCUGCCGCUGCGUAACAUCCACGCCAGGCAGCUUUGUCUCUUCUAAUCUGCAACAAACCCAGUGUACAUAUUUCUAUAUAUAUGUUAACAGACACAGAAACAGCAAACGACAUUCGUGCAUCUAAGUCCCGUCCGCAUCUGAGGUCUUUCUCUCCCUCUAUUUUCUAUCGAUAGACGAAGCAUGAGUCACGCCCACUCCUUGCCUCUUCAUUCUGGUUGAAGAGCGAAGUCAGGCAAAGAAGAACAACGCGGAAAGGCCACAAUGCAGACCUCUGUGGGAUGUGUGCAGCGAGUGAGGAGCGAAAAGUGUGGGGCGGAGAUGCUGGGGAGUGCAUGGAGAACAGGUCUCAUCAGUCCACAAACGAGGAGACUCAACAGACGCCGCGACAUAUCUUUUUCACUGCGACAUCUGGAGCACCAAAACUGGCGACAGCUGGGAUGCAUGCGACCACCACAGAGUCUCUUGCCUCACCGUUUCCACGAGCAAGAGGAAACAGACGCAGUUGACUGGCCCCGAGGUCGGUGUCUCUCUCCGCGAGCGCCGUCAGAGUUCCUCGGAAGACUGCGGGUGUCUCUUCCUUCGCUGUCCUCUGCCUCGUCGCCUGCUCCCGGGCAAUGCUCUGCUUCCUUUCCUUGGCAUGCGUCGUUUGUUCCGAGUUUGUCGCAUUCCCGCCUUUUCUCUGCAAGCACUCGGCGUCCGCCUGUUGCUCCUGCCUGGACCAGGAGCCGGCGGUAUCGCUCUCUCGCCCACGAGGAAACAAGGGCAAUGGGAGGAAAGGAAGCCGAAUGUCGACAGACAACCGAGCAUGGCGGAAGACGAAGAGAGGCAAGGAGAAGGUGCUCGCAACGAAACGCAGCGGAGGAAACAAAUGAAGGACGGGAACGGCAAACGGUGGGGGCCUUGGCCUGUGGAGAGACCGAUAUUCCCUUGAGAGAAGGAAUCUGUAGUCCAGAUACUGUGCACCGUUCGAUACACAGCAGAGACAGAGCCUCCUCUCUGUCUCACCAUCUUUCGCGACGAGCACCGGCCUCUUUGGUGUCGUGGACACCUACUCACCUCUCGUCCACACCUCUCCUUGCUUCCACUAGCCCUUCGUCCUCGUCUCCAGUUUCGUUCUUCUCUUCCUCGCAUCUCUCUCCUUCGUCUUCUUCCUCAUCUCCUUCUCCCUCUUCCUCAUCUCCUUCGUCUUCUUCCUCAUCU